rnacentral:lncRNA from 1 species
UCAUGAUUAACAUAUGCAAACAAGCACCAGCAACAACCUGACACUACAUGAGAACACAAAAGAACAAACAAGUAGUCUUGUUGCAAAGUAACAAGACAUACUGAUCGAGAAAAUGAGAAACUAGGUCGAGAGAGAUGAGAGAGAGAGUCAUGUAAUAACUAAUAACUAUAAACCGAUAAAGGACUCACAGGAACGUGAGAGAAUCUUUGUCUAUCUCCGAAAUUUUCACAAAGAUUCUAGGGAAAGUUAAGAGAUGUGAAUCUCCGGUAGGAGAGUACUGGUUUGGGAUCUAUUCUUCACGGCUUCACCUCCUGUUGUUUUAUCGGAUCGUUAGAGAUCGAGAACUUUGAUCGCCUGAAAACAGAGAAUCCGAUUAUGGACUCAGGAAGACUUUGAGUUUCGGCCGGAAAAUUGAAACCCUAAAGUUUUUUUUUUUCGUUUUCGAGAGAGUAAACCCUAAUAACCUAAACUCUGUUUCGUAGAUCUCUUGCUUGGAAAACAAGUUGUAUGUUUAUUCCAUCUUACCUAUUUUUGUGCGGUCAACAUUGCAUUCCAAUAUCCUCGUAUUUUCCAAAAUAUUAUCUCUUAAACAAACAAGAUUUUGAUUCUUUUUAAGGAAGAUUUUUGUAAGUCUUUGAAACCCACGCAUUA